rnacentral:rRNA from 1 species
UCCUACGGGAGGCAGCAGUGAGGAAUAUUGGUCAAUGGUCGGGAGACUGAACCAGCCAAGCCGCGUGAGGGAUGAAGGUACAGAGUAUCGUAAACCUCUUUUGUCAGGGAACAAAGGCGGGGACGUGUCCCCGGAUGAGUGUACCUGAAGAAAAAGCAUCGGCUAACUCCGUGCCAGCAGCCGCGGUAAUACGGAGGAUGCGAGCGUUAUCCGGAUUUAUUGGGUUUAAAGGGUGCGCAGGCGGUCUGUUAAGUCAGCGGUCAAAGCCCGGGGCGCAACCCCGGCCCGCCGUUGAAACUGGCAGU